CCUGUUUAUCAAAAACAUCUCUUCUUGUUAGUUUUUGAAGUAUGGCCUGCCCACUGACUUAUUUGUUGAAGGGCCGCGGUAUUUUGACCGUGCAAAGGUAGCAUAAUCAUUAGUUCUUUAAUUGUGAUCUGGUAUGAAUGGCUUGACGAGGUAUAAUCUGUCUUAAUUGUAUUGUUGAUUGAAUUUAGUUUUUGAGUUAAAAUUCUUAGAUGUUUUUAUGGGACGAGAAGACCCUAUAGAGUUUUACAUUUAUUUCUUCAUUACUUUUAUUUGUUUGUUUUUAUUGUAAAGUAGUUUGAAUGUUUUGUUGGGGUGAUGGGAGGAAUUUUUUUAACUCCUCUUUGUUUUUAUAUACUUAUUUGUGUUUUUUUUGAUCCAUUUGUUUUGAUUAUAAGAUUAAAUUACCUUAGGGAUAACAGCGUUAUCUUCCCUGAGAGUUCUUAUUGGCGGGAAGGUUUGCGACCUCGAUGUUGGAUUAAGAUUAAUUUUCGGUGCAGAAGCUGGAAUUGAUUAGGUCUGUUCGACCUUUAAAAUCUUACGUGAUCUGAG
rnacentral:rRNA from 1 species